rnacentral:rRNA from 1 species
AUACGGAGGGUGCAAGCGUUGUUCGGAUUUACUGGGCGUAAAGAGAGUGUGGGUGGUUUAUUAAGUCGGAUGUGAAAUCCCGGGGCUCAACCUCGGAACUGCAUUCGAUACUGAUAGGCUAGAGUUUGGGAGGGGUAAGCGGAAUUCCGUGUGUAGCAGUGAAAUGCGUAGAUAUACGGAGGAACACCUGAGGCGAAGGCGGCUUACUGGACCAAUACUGACACUGAGACUCGAAAGCGUGGGUAGCAAACAGGAUUAGAAACCCUGGUAGUCC